rnacentral:sRNA from 1 species
UGGGAUUAGCAGCGCAGCCUGGCCAGGCACAGUGGCUCACACCUGUAGUCCCAACACUCUGGGAGGCCGAGGCAGGAGUCGCUUCAGCCCAGGAGUUCAACACCAGCCUGGACGAUAUGGAGAGACCCUGUCUCUGCAAAAAAGUACAAAAAUUAGCUGGGCGUGGUGGCAUGCACCUAUAGUCCCAGCUACUCAGGAGGCUGAGUUGGGAGGAUGGCUUGAGACCAGGGAGGUUAAGGCUGCAGUGAGCUGUGAUCACAUCAGUGCACUCCAGCCUGGGCAACAGAGCAAGACCCUGUCUCAAAAAAAAAAGCAGGAGCAGCACCUUAGUGCCAAAGAAAAGUCUACCUUUCCUCCCAGAGCCUCCUGGGCCAGGCUGAGUGGCUUGGGGAACACCACGUGACUGGCUUCACUCCCCAGGGCAGACAACUGCUGGCCUCUCAUCCCCUCCCCUCCCCUUUGCUGCCACUGACCUCCAUCCACACGGUUUCCUUAAGCAGAGCUUUUCUCCUCCUCUUCUCUGCUAGUGAAGCACUGCUUACCCUCCUAGCCUGCAGCAAGCCCUGCCCUGCCCCAUCUUUCUACCCAAUUUCUCGCUCUUCUGUUUCACACUCAUUUCUUUUUACUUUGGACUAAUUGUGGCUGUUGGGACUUUGGCUUGAUUGCUAAAAUACUUUACUUGUACUUCCUGAUGAUACAAACAAUCCUGCCCACUUCCUCUGCCAGAUAUUGCACCCACUCGUCAGGAUUUGUGCGUCCUUGACUCUGCCCCACCCAGUGCUCCCAGCAGGGGCAGGUGCAGGAAGCUCACUAGGUGGAGAUGUUGGAAUUGGUUUUUCUUGCAGACAAAGACCUGCGGACCAAGGGCUUCAGCCUAGAGUCGUGCCGCAGCAUGGUGAACCUCAUGGAUGUAUCCUUCCGUUUGCUUUUGUCUCCGGAGUGGGGUUUUGGGUGGAGGUAUCGGUGCUGGGAGAACUGUCCCAGGACAGCACAGAGAACAGGACAGAGCCAUGCGGAGUGUGGACACACAGUGCCCCAUGCUCAGAUGUCUCCCUGGACGUCUUCCUGUUGGUUGGGAGGGAGAAACUGAGGCACAGACCUGUGUCAAGUGAAAGGUGGAGCAAGACCUGGGUCCCCAUUGACCCUGAGGCUGGUGCUAUUUCUGACCCCUCCCCAGCCCACUCCACUGCAGCCCAGCUCAGAGAACGAGGCAAGCCUGGCUGUGGGCUGACUGUACAUGGCUUUUGCUGCUUCUCCUCACCCAGCCCCAAGUUGGCUUGCCGGCUCGGCGGCCAUCUCCCCUUCUGCACAGUUGCCCACUCUCCCAUGACUGGUCUAAGUGAUGGAAUUUCCUUCUUAACGGCCACCCAGCGUGAUGGCAAUGGGAAGCUGGGCCUGGUGGAGUUCAACAUCCUGUGGAACCGCAUCCGGAAUUACCUGUCCAUCUUCCGGAAGUUUGACCUGGACAAGUCGGGCAGCAUGAGUGCCUACGAGAUGCGGAUGGCCAUUGAGUCGGCAGGCUUCAAGCUCAACAAGAAGCUGUACGAGCUCAUCAUCACCCGCUACUCGGAGCCCGACCUGGCGGUCGACUUUGACAAUUUCGUUUGCUGCCUGGUGCGGCUAGAGACCAUGUUCCGAUUUUUCAAAACUCUGGACACAGAUCUGGAUGGAGUUGUGACCUUUGACUUGUUUAAGGUGGGAACCUCCCUGGGCCCAUGGUUGGGGAAGAGUUCCAGGCGAUCGAGUUUUCUUAUCUGGCCAGUGUUCCCUGUCCUUUCCUGGAAAUGAGCCUGGGCCUCAGAGCCAACCCUGAAGGCCGGGCCACCUGAAUCCUGAAAGGCUGGGGUGGGGGUGUCUGGAUUCUGGGAAAGGAGCAGGAGGGGAGGUCCAGGCCCUUGGAGGCCCCUAUGGGAGCAGCACUCUGGUUUCCCAAGGGUGGAGGAGGUAAGAAAGUAACCCCUCCAUGAAGUCCCUGAGGUGGCUCCUGAGCCGUGGAGUUGGGGGCUGGACCUGGGGUUUGGGUGGGGAAGAAGCCAGGGAGCCAUUUCUGCGGCCCCAGCCGACCUGCCUGUUCUCCCGCAGUGGUUGCAGCUGACCAUGUUUGCAUGAGGCAGGGACUCGGUCCCCCUUGCCGUGCUCCCCUCCCUCCUCGUCUGCCAAGCCUCGCCUCCUACCACACCACACCAGGCCACCCCAGCUGCAAGUGCCUUCCUUGGAGCAGAGAGGCAGCCUCGUCCUCCUGUCCCCUCUCCUCCCAGCCACCAUCGUUCAUCUGCUCCGGGCAGAGCUGUGAGGCCCCUGCCUGCGCCAGCCAUGGGCUCGGGAUGGACUCCCUGGGCCCCACCCAUUGCCAAGCCAGGAAGGCAGCUUUCGCUUGUUCCUGCCUCGGGACAGCCCCGGGUUUCCCCAGCAUCCUGAUGUGUCCCCUCUCCCCACUUCAGAGGCCACCCACUCAGCACCACCGGCCUGGCCUUGCCUGCAGACUAUAAACUAUAACCACUAGCUCGACACAGUCUGCAGUCCAGGCAUGUGGAGCCGCCUCCCGGCUUGGGGAGGCCCCGGGGCUGGGAACGCCUGUGCCUUCCUGCGCCGAAGCCAACGCCCCCUCUGUCCUUCCCUGGCCCUGCUGCCGACCAGGAGCUGCCCAGCCUGUGGGCGGUCGGCCUUCCCUCCUGCGCUCCUUUUUUAUAUUAGUGAUUUUAAAGGGGACUCUUCAGGGACUUGUGUACUGGUUAUGGGGGUGCCAGAGGCACUAGGCUUGGGGUGGGGAGGUCCCGUGUUCCAUAUAGAGGAACCCCAAAUAAUAAAAGGCCCCACAUCUGUCUGUG